rnacentral:rRNA from 1 species
GCGCGAAAAUUUCGCAAUGCACGCAAGUGUGACGAAGGAAUUCAGAGUGCUUUCUCUUUUUGAGGAAGCUUUUGCCAAGUCCAAAAAGCUUGGCGAAUAAGUGGUGGGUAAGACAGGUGCCAGCCGCCGCGGUAAUACCUGCGCCACGAGUGGUAACCACGUUUAUUGGGUUUAAAGCGUUCGUAGCCGGCUUGGAAAGUUUCUAAUGAAAUCCCGCAGCUGACUGCGGGGCUUGUUAGAAAUACUUCCAGGCUUGGAACCGGGAGAGGUCGAGGGUAUUAUUGGGGUAGGGGUAAAAUCCUAUAAUCCCAAUAAGACCACCUGUGGCGAAGGCGCUCGACUAGAACGGAUUCGACGGUGAGGGACGAAAGCCAGGGGAGCAAAGCGG